AUUUAUAUAGUUUAAAAUAAAACUUUACAUUUUCAAUGUAAAAAUAGAAAACCUCUUAUAAAUA
rnacentral:tRNA from 1 species